UAGAGAUAGUUCCUCUUCUUCGGAAGCCAGAAAACAGGUGGUGCACGGUUGUCGUCAGCUCGUGUCGUGAGAUGUUGGGUUAAGUCCCGCAACGAGCGCACCCCCUAUCUUAUGUUGCCAGCACUUCGGGUGGGAACUCAUGAGAGACUGCCGCAGACAAUGCGGAGGAAGGCGGGGAUGACGUCAAAUCAUCAUGCCCCUUAUGACCUGGGCUACACACGUACUACAAUGGGAGUUAAUAGACGGAAGCGAGAUCGCGAGAUGGAGCAAACCCGAGAAACACUCUCUCAGUUCGGAUCGUAGGCUGCAACUCGCCUACGUGAAGUCGGAAUCGCUAGUAAUCGCAGGUCAGCAUACUGCGGUGAAUACGUUCCCGGGCCUUGUACACACCGCCCGUCACACCACGAAAGUCGGAAGUGCCCAAAGCCGGUGGGGUAACUUCGGGAGCCAGCCGUCUAAGGUAAAGUCGAUGAUUGGGGUGAAGUCGUAACAAGGUACCAAUCACUAGUAGAUUC
rnacentral:rRNA from 1 species